rnacentral:rRNA from 1 species
GAUGAACGCUGGCGGCGUGCCUAAUACAUGCAAGUCGAGCGAACAGAUGAGGAGCUUGCUCCUCUGACGUUAGCGGCGGACGGGUGAGUAACACGUGGAUAACCUACCUAUAAGACUGGGAUAACUUCGGGAAACCGGAGCUAAUACCGGAUAAUAUAUUGAACCGCAUGGUUCAAUAGUGAAAGACGGUUUUGCUGUCACUUAUAGAUGGAUCCGCGCCGCAUUAGCUAGUUGGUAAGGUAACGGCUUACCAAGGCAACGAUGCGUAGCCGACCUGAGAGGGUGAUCGGCCACACUGGAACUGAGACACGGUCCAGACUCCUACGGGAGGCAGCAGUAGGGAAUCUGCCGCAAUGGGCGAAAGCCUGACGGAGCAACGCCGCGUGAGUGAUGAAGGUCUUCGGAUCGUAAAACUCUGUUAUGAGGGAAGAACAAAUGUGUAAGUAACUAUGCACGUCUUGACGGUACCUAAUCAGAAAGCCACGGCUAACUACGUG